GGAGAGGUGGCCGAGCGGUUGAAGGCGCACGAUUGGAAAUCGUGUAUACGUUAAACGCGUAUCGAGGGUUCGAAUCCCUCUCUCUCCGCCA
rnacentral:tRNA from 1 species